GUCACGCUGUAAACGAUGUCGAUUUGGAGGUUGUUCCCUGAGGAGUGGCUUCCGGAGCUAACGCGUUAAAUCGACCGCCUGGGGAGUACGGCCGCAAGGUUAAAACUCAAAUGAAUUGACGGGGGCCCGCACAAGCGGUGGAGCAUGUGGUUUAAUUCGAUGCAACGCGAAGAACCUUACCUAGUCUUGACAUCCAGAGAAUUCAGCAGAGAUGUGUGAGUGCCUUCGGGAACUCUGAGACAGGUGCUGCAUGGCUGUCGUCAGCUCGUGUUGUGAAAUGUUGGGUUAAGUCCCGCAACGAGCGCAACCCUUAUCCUUUGUUGCCAGCACAUUAUGGUGGGAACUCAAAGGAGACUGCCGGUGAUAAACCGGAGGAAGGUGGGGAUGACGUCAAGUCAUCAUGGCCCUUACGAGUAGGGCUACACACGUGCUACAAUGGCGUAUACAAAGAGAAGCGACCUCGCGAGAGCAAGCGGAACUCAUAAAGUACGUCGUAGUCCGGAUUGGAGUCUGCAACUCGACUCCAUGAAGUCGGAAUCGCUAGUAAUCGUAGAUCAGAAUGCUACGGUGAAUACGUUCCCGGGCCUUGUACACACCGCCCGUCACACCAUGGGAGUGGGUUGCAAAAGAAGUAGGUAGCUUAACCUUCGGGAGGGCGCUUACCACUUUGUGAUUCAUGACUGGGGUGAAGUCGUAACAAGGUAACCA
rnacentral:rRNA from 1 species